AAUGAAGUGCCUGAAAAAGGAUUAUCGUGAUAGGAUAAAUCAUGUAAUUUUAUUACCUUCAUUA
rnacentral:tRNA from 1 species